UACGUAGGGUGCGAGCGUUGUCCGGAAUUAUUGGGCGUAAAGAGCUUGUAGGCGGUCUGUCGCGUCUGCUGUGAAAAUCCGGGGCUCAACCCCGGACUUGCAGUGGGUACGGGCAGACUAGAGUGUGGUAGGGGGAGACUGGAAUUCCGUGGUGUAGCGGUGAAAAUGCGCAGAUAUCAGGAGGAACACCCGGAUGGCGAAGGCAGGUCUCUGGGCCACUACUGACG
rnacentral:rRNA from 1 species